UGCAGUGCCCUAUUCAGAAUGGUACUGAUGAGAUGAAUAAUUUAAUCAGUGCCUUUCUGAGUAGAGUAAGGCUCA
rnacentral:pre_miRNA from 1 species